rnacentral:rRNA from 1 species
UUCAGAGACGGGAGUCCUUCAGUUCGGCUGGACCGGAGACAGGUGCUGCAUGGCUGUCGUCAGCUCGUGUCGUGAGAUGUUGGGUUAAGUCCCGCAACGAGCGCAACCCCCGUCCUUAGUUGCUACCAUUUAGUUGAGCACUCUAAGGAGACUGCCGGUGAUAAGCCGCGAGGAAGGUGGGGAUGACGUCAAGUCCUCAUGGCCCUUACGGGCUGGGCUACACACGUGCUACAAUGGCGGUGACAAUGGGACGCUAAGGGGCAACCCUUCGCAAAUCUCAAAAAGCCGUCUCAGUUCGGAUUGGGCUCUGCAACUCGAGCCCAUGAAGUUGGAAUCGCUAGUAAUCGUGGAUCAGCAUGCCACGGUGAAUACGUUCCCGGGCCUUGUACACACCGCCCGUCACACCAUGGGAGUUGGUUUUACCUGAAGACGGUGCGCUAACCCGCAAGGGAGGCAGCCGGCCACGGUAGGGUCAGCGACUGGGGUGAAGUCGUAACAAGGUAGCCGU